CCACGCGCGAGCGUCUCAAGGCUGGUCGCAGACCACGACCUCGAUAGGCCGGGGGUGCAAGCGCGGCGACGCGCUCAGCCGACCGGUACUAAUCAGCCGUGAGGCUUGGCCGU
rnacentral:rRNA from 1 species